GUGGCAUCUGAGCAGCCCCUCGGAGCCGCAGGGAACUCCCGCCGGGAAGGCCAACGCCGGCCGGAUUAACGUCUCCCGACGGCGGGGCCCGAGGUCCCGCCCUUUGUGGUGCAAAUGAGGGGCGCUCAGGGGCCCCGGGGGCGGCGCUCGCCCGGGUGCAAGUUUGCGCGCGGCUGCUCCGAGACUUCCUUCACACUUUGAGCUCGGCGCGGGAUGCUCGGAUCCUCCCGGGGAGCCCCCUGCCAUCGUGGAGGGAUGCUGAGGAAGGACUUGUCCUUACGAGUCUCCAGUGCUCCAAACCUGAGUUCUUCAUUCUCAGAAGAAAAGCAAAAUCUCCAAUAGCAACGAAGUCCUGAAGGAAAUUGCUUUGAAUUAACUGUGCAAUGAACAGAUCAUGAGCCUUAUAAAGGAAGAAAAGGCUGGUCCUUCAUGCAGGUCAAUGGAUUGGAGCCUCUUGAACCAAAGACUCUGGAUGGGUAAAAGGGACCAACCCGAAUUGUUACAGCAACUUGCGGGAAUAAAAAUACAGAGAUCAACACUGGCUACAAAAUUUGCAGGGCCCAGUUCAAAAUGAAAAUGCUGUCUUUUUGUUUAAAAAAUUAUGACAGAUUUCAAGAAGGCAACAGGAGAGCAUUAGGCUGAGCAUGCAUGAAGCCCACUCUGGCUGAGAUCCACUGUUGUCCUGAAUGCAAAUCACAAGAAUACCAAUAAACAAGGUACAGAGAUUUCUUCUGAGGCCUUAGAAACUGGAGAUGUGUAAGGUGACUCUUUUAGGGAUGUUUUGGAUGCUCCUCUGCCUGGAGCCUGUUGGAAAGAAACCUAAGACUGGAACUAAACCUAAGAACUGUCUGAGCCUGGAAAACAUUUGUGAACCAUCCGUCCCUGCUUCUUUCUGCACUUCUAACACUUAGCUAUUCUUUCAGAGCUUAGGUGAUUCACAUUUCUUCUGUGAAGGCUUCUCUCACCCUA